rnacentral:lncRNA from 1 species
AGAAAGUAGAGAGAGUUUUCAUAUCUCUCAAAAGAGGAAUCCAUGAUGAAGAUCAUCAGGGGUCAUGCCAGGAUGACUCAGUGGAGAUUAAGAGUGAUCAGAUUCUAUGAAUACCUGGUAAGGGCUAGGCUUGGAUUCAACCUAUCACACGGAUAUCAAAGCGACUCCGAAUCUUUUUGAGAACAUCAUAUCAAGUUCAUACUAGGGUUCGUGGAUCAAAUAGGGGGAGA